AGAGUCCUGUCUGGCCAAAGCCGUAGCGGGCAGGCCAGGACCGAGUCUUGCAGGCGCUGCGGUAACGCAGGGUCUGAAGCGUAGACAGGGGUCGUGCAGGGUGCGGAGUAAGCCCCGAAAAGCUGAAUCUCGUGGAGGCCGAAUGGGUUCCCGUCCAUGAAGGCAGCAUGUGCAUCAUCGUUACGCGAGAUGAUGUUGCUCCACCGGGGUCGUGGACCG
rfam:Freshwater sediment metagenome lwMethane_BCGO20231_x1, whole genome shotgun sequence.